AGAGCUUGCAUGGCAUUGUUCUAGAUCCUAGAGACACAUACAAAGAUCCUGCUGCUGUGGACAUGAGCCACAAUUGUCUGCUGCCUCUUUUUUUUUUUUCUCUUUACGUUGACGAUCACAGAACUGCAUUUGUCAUAUUGUGAAGGACCGGAGAACAGAGGAAAUAAGUUACCCUGAGGUAGGAGGUAUAAGCUGGAAGAUUAGACAUGAAAUCAAACUCCCUCAGAAUCAGCAUUGG